AAUUUUGCUUUUUAUCAAGGUUCUAAUUUUGUUGUGUGUAAACCAGGAUGUUGUGGUCUCUCAAAAUUGGCUAUCUACUUUGUUUCUCUCUGAAGUGAGAGAAGAAUCUGCUUGCAAUGAGGGGAAGAGUUUUGGUACAGGAUCUCGGAUUCAUGACAAGGGACACAAAGAUGAGGUGUGCAUUUUUGUUGUUUUUAUUAUUCUAAAUGCAAUUGUUGUUCUAUGAUAGUUCUUACAUGUUUAGCAGUAUGGAUUAUGGAAUAAGGAAUAUAUAUUGGCAUGUAGUUUAUUUUUCAUAUAAUAGGAAGUGCUUCAAGAUAAGUUGCAGAAGCUGUUAGCUGGUGUAUGCUUUUUCUUUCUACUAAGCUUGCAAUUAGAGUUAUUUCUAGUUUCUGGA